AAAUCUCAACCUCCUCGGUUUCUUUUGAACGCCGAAGGAGGCUUGGACUUUGGAGGGCUUUGCUGGACUUGAAAAGGCCAGCUCCUCUCAAAUGAAUUAGCGAGGUCCCCUUUGCCGAUCCUCGACGUGUGAUAAGACACUUCCACGUCUCGGUCUUUGGCUCUGUCGCCUCUUGGGACCUGCUUCCAAUCGUCUCUCUACGAGACAACGUUCGAGCUCGCCUCGACCACGUACCC
rnacentral:misc_RNA from 1 species